rnacentral:rRNA from 1 species
GAUGAACGCUGGCGGCGUGCCUAAUACAUGCAAGUCGAGCGAACGGACGAGUAGCUUGCUUUUCUGAUGUUAGCGGCGGACGGGUGAGUAACACGUGGAUAACCUACCUAUAAGACUGGGAUAACUUCGGGAAACCGGAGCUAAUACCGGAUAAUAUUUUGAACCGCAUGGUUCAAAAGUGAAAGACGGUCUUGCUGUCACUUAUAGAUGGAUCCGCGCUGCAUUAGCUAGUUGGUAAGGUAACGGCUUACCAAGGCAACGAUGCAUAGCCGACCUGAGAGGGUGAUCGGCCACACUGGAACUGAGUCACGGUCCAGACUCCUACGGGAGGCAGCAGUAGGGAAUCUUCCGCAAUGGGCGAAAGCCUGACGGAGCAACGCCGCGUGAGUGAUGAAGGUCUUCGGAUCGUAAAACUCUGUUAUUAGGGAAGAACAUAUGUGUAAGUAACUGUGCACAUCUUGACGGUACCUAAUCAGAAAGCCACGGCUAACUACGUG